UUAAAGUCACAUGAUUUUAUGUUGAUUGGCCCAUUUUAACGUGAUGUUACCUUUUUAUUUAGUCACACGAUACCAAACCCUCUGUUACACAUUUUGUACCUUAGCAAUAUAUGUGUUGGUUAUAUACAACAUUCCUCAUAGGACAGCAAAAACAAGAAAUGGCCUUCUGACCAAACGAAAACCCAUUCACAAUGCAGCAAACCUAAUCACAGUUAUUCGACAUAUGGCAGUCGAUGAGAUUUACAAAGACAUUCCAUCCAACACUUCCAUAAUUCAGUUUGACAGUCAAUGCGAUGUGCAUCACACUGACAAUUUCGACACUAGUCACAACACUAUAUACUCAACGACAGUGGAUUUCUAAGAAGUUGCUGGUAUUAUUCGGGAAGUCUGAACACCCAAUUGUCCCAAAAGUAAAUGGCGAUAUUUUACAAGAUUUAGAUACAAAUUAUAAAAGAACUGCCCACAACAGUUCUAAUGAAAUACAAAACACUUUUCGUCGAGUUGUACUUUGAAGACUUGGGCGCUCCUGUCAUCACUCGCAUUGACUUCAACAAUAUUGUAACCUGCUUGUCGGGCAAUCAUAUGAGCCAGGGUGGUCUUCCCCAACCCAGGAGGGCCACACAGCAAAGCUAUUUUCUGCAUGGGUCUGCCGAAUUCAUCGAACAGCUCUUUUUUCUUUAUCUGGUCC
rnacentral:lncRNA from 1 species